rnacentral:rRNA from 1 species
GACGAACGCUGGCGGCGUGCUUAACACAUGCAAGUCGAACGAAGAGCGAUGGAAGCUUGCUUCUAUCAAUCUUAGUGGCGAACGGGUGAGUAACGCGUAAUCAACCUGCCCUUCAGAGGGGGACAACAGUUGGAAACGACUGCUAAUACCGCAUACGAUCUGACCUCGGCAUCGAGGAUAGAUGAAAGGUGGCCUCUAUUUAUAAGCUAUCACUGAAGGAGGGGAUUGCGUCUGAUUAGCUAGUUGGAGGGGUAACGGCCCACCAAGGCGAUGAUCAGUAGCCGGUCGGAGAGGAUGAACGGCCACAUUGGGACUGAGACACGGCCCAGACUCCUACGGGAGGCAGCAGUGGGGAAUCUUCCGCAAUGGACGAAAGUCUGACGGAGCAACGCCGCGUGAGGGAUGACGGCCUUCGGGUUGUAAAGCUCGGUUAAUCGGGACGAAAGGCCUUCUUGCGAAUAGUUAGAAGGAUUGACGGUACCGGAAUAGAAAGCCACGGCUAACUACGUG